UGCUUUUGCUAUCUUCUGCUUGCCAUGAACUGGUUCUCUUCUGCCAUGCCACCCUGCCUUGGAGCUAGCCGAUUAUGGACUGAAACCUCUACAAACUGUGAGCUAAAUAAACCUUUCCUCCUUUAACUUUAGGUGUUGGGUAUUUUGCCUCAGAAAUGAGAAAAGGAGCUAAGACAUUGGUCCAGGUCAGCCACUCUUGGGUUGCAUCUGCCCCCACUGAACCACAGUCUUAUGACAGGCUGCUGUUGUCAUGCUUGCUGCUUGUAAACAACUUAGGUAUGGUUAAAUUACCUACUGAUUGCUAACUUUCUACCAGUGUAGAAACCCCCGGUAUGCCUCCACCCUAGGAUGGUCCCAAACCCUUGUCUUUAGAAAUCUCUUCCUUGUUCUUUAAUGUUCUGUGCCCUAAUCUCCUGCCACAUCCUAGCUAGAGGCUCUCACCUCAACUUUGGACUUCUCUUCUAAGUCCAUAUCCAAGAUAUUGUGCAAACCUUUCUAUUAAUGUUCAACCAACACUCAUGAGCACCUUCUGUGUAAAAGACAUCCAUCUAUGGAGACUCAAUAAACGAUAAACAAGCAUUGUCAACCAGAACUGGGAUCUACCUUUGGCUUCCAUCCCCAGAAGCAAAUCUCAUAAGAAGUGAGCACCAUUGUUCACAAGGAGGGCUUUGCAGGAGGUGGAGGAUGCUCAUAAGAGUGUGGAAAAUAAGCAAAGAUGAGCAACAUCUUUGUGGGAUGAUGCUAGCACACGUCUGCUCAGAGACAGAGUCUCCUCCUGGGAGCUCUGGGAGGAACAAAUUCACCUCUCCUUGGGACUUGUGGAUGGAGAAAUGCAGAAAAGGACAGGGUUUUGAGACACAGACAUCUACCUGGUUCCCUUGUGUAAACAAUGUCCUGACAAUGCCAACUACCUCUGAGCUUGGAGACUUGCUCCCCAUCUCACCCUGCUACAACUUUCUGCAUCCUGGUCACUCUCCAUCUUGUUAGAUUCGCUGCACCUCAGCCCCUUGCCCCCUGACCACUGUCACCUUCAAAGGACUAUGAGAAGAAAAAAGAAGAGAGAGAAGAGAAGGAAGAGCAAUUUGAGGACUUGAUCCAUUUCCUUUUCUUUUUAGAAAUAUAUUUUAUAUUGCAUAUGCUGACUAUUUACUUGUUUACUUAUUUAUUACAGUGUUGGGGAUCAAAGCAAGGACCUUAAACAUGCCCAAUGAUUUGACUAUUUUCUUCAGGGUCUUUAUGUCAUGCUUUCUGCUGUAGUUAACACAAUCUGCAGUCACAUUUCCUGGGAACUUAUCACACUCACAGGCGAUGCUCAAAGGGUAAACCUAUCUUUAUGUCAAAGGGCUCCUUCCCCAUCUACUCUUACAGGUUACUAGAAGGGCACAGCUAAGGCAUUGAUUAGCUAGCAUCUACAGUGGUCCUUCCUAUCCAGGGUUUGAGCUGAGAGGGGCAGAGACUCUAGGUAGUGAAGUUCUGGGAAUACCAUGUAGUACUGGCUGGUAAUAGCCCCGUCAGUGUGUCAGCAUGGCCAGUGUGCAAAGAGAACUGAGGCUCAGAGUACAGGAUGAAUCUGGCUUUGUAGGGCCUGAAACUUGUACAACUUGGGGAUCCUCCUUAAGAAAAAGAAUAUGAAUGUGUCUUAGUUCACUUCCUGUUGCUAUAGCUGGACACCAUAGAUUGGGUCAUUUAUAAAAGAUAAAGUUUUACUUAGCACAUGUUUCUGGAGGCUGGGAGGUGAAGGGACCUCAUCAGGUAAAGAUCUUGCUGGUGAGUGGUACAGGGUGUCAAAUGGCAAAAGACUCAGCCAAACCCACUUUUGGGUUUUAUAGCUAAUUUACUCUCAAGAUAAUCCAUUAACACAUUAAAUUUCAACAUGAAUUUUGUUGGGGACCCUUGUGGGAUAGCAAUGAGUAUACAAGUCUGCAGUUUUUAGAUGACUCCUGCUAUUCUCAUAACUGUCUUAUUUAAAUUAGCUCAAGCGGCUUUCUGUUUCUUCCUGCACCAAGAAGUCAGCACUCUUAGCACUGUUUUUCCUUCUUUCAAUUCUAAAGGCAAACUCAGUUUAACUUUUUUUGUCCCUGAAACAUUUCCUGCUUAACCAGACCACUGAGAUGUGCAAUAAAGUUUUGAAUUUUUCUUACAAUAA
rnacentral:lncRNA from 1 species